rnacentral:rRNA from 1 species
AUGACUAAAACGCCGUUCUUCGGUACUAUGGAGAGAGCAACAGAUUUGUUGGAAAUCAUACAUACAGAUAUAUGUGGACCGAUGAAUGUUGAGGCUCGUGGCGGAUAUCGUUAUUUUCUCACCUUCACAGAUGAUUUAAGCAGAGGGUAUAUCUACUUAAUGAAACAUAAGUCUAAAACAUUUCAAAAGUUCAAAAAAUUUCAGAGUGAAGUUGAAAAUCAUCGUAACAAGAAAAUAAAGUUUCUACGAUCUGAUCGUGGAGGAGAAUAUUUAAGUUACGAGUUUGGUCUACAUUUGAAACAAUGCGGAAUAGUUUUGCAACUCACGCCACCCGGAACACCACAACGUAAUGGUGUGUCCGAACGUCGUAAUCGUACUUUAUUAGAUAUGGUGCGAUCUAUGAUGUCUCUUACUGAUUUACCGCUAUCGUUUUGGGAUUAUGCUUUAGAGACGGAUGCAUUCACGUUAAAUAGGGCACCAUCGAAAUCCGUUGAGACGACGCCUUAUGAACUGUGGUUUGGUAAGAAACCAAAGUUGUCGUUUCUGAAAGUUUGGGGCUGUGAUGCUUAUGUGAAAAAGUUUCAACCUGAUAAGCUCGAACCCAAAUCGAAGAAAUGUGUCUUCAUAGGAUACCCAAAGAAGACUAUUGGGUACACCUUCUAUCACAGAUUCAAAGGCAAGACAUUCCUUGCUAAGAAUGAAUCCUUUCUAGAGAAGGAGUUUCUCUCGAAAGAAGUGAGUGGGAGGAAAGUAGAACUUGAUGAGGUAACUGUACCUGCUCCCUUAUUGAAAAAUAGUACAUCACAGAAACCGGUUUCUGUGACACCUAUACCAAUUAGUGAGGAAGCUAAUGAUAAUAAUCAUGAAACUUCAGAUCAAGUUACUACCGAACCUCGUAGAUCAACCAGAGUAAGAUCCGCACCAGAGUGGUACGAUAAUCAUAUUCUGAAAGUCAUGCUACUAGAUCAUGAUGAACCUACGAACUAUGAAGAAGCGAUAGUGAGCCCAGAUUCCGCAAAAUGGCUAGAAGCCAUGAAAUCUGAGAUGGGAUCCAUGUAUGAGAACAAAGUAUGGACUUUGGUUGACUUGCCCGUUGAUCGGCAAGCAAUUGAAAAUAAAUGGAUCUUCAAGAAGAAGACUGACGCUGACGGUAAUGUUACUGUCUACAAAGCUCGACUUGUUGCAAAAGGUUUUCGACAAGUUCAAGGGAUUGACUACGAUGAGACCUUCUCACCCGUAGCGAUGCUUGAGUCUGUCCGAAUCAUGUUAGCGAUUGCCGCAUUUUAUGAUUAUGAAAUUUGGCAGAUGAAUGUCAAAACUGCAUUUCUGAAUGAAUUUCUGGAAGAAGAGUUGUAUAUGAUGUAA